UACGAAGGGGGCGAGCGUUGUUCGGAUUUACUGGGCGUAAAGGGCGCGCAGGCGGCGAGUUUUGUCAGGCGUGAAAGCCCCGGGCUCAACCUGGGAAUUGCGCUUGAAACGGGCUUGCUGGAGACCGGGAGAGGAGAGUGGAAUUCCCAGUGUAGAGGUGAAAUUCGUAGAUAUUGGGAAGAACACCGGUGGCGAAGGCGGCUCUCUGGACCGACACUGACGCUGAGGCGCGAAAGCGUGGGGAGCAAACAGG
rnacentral:rRNA from 1 species